rnacentral:rRNA from 1 species
UACGUAGGGUGCAAGCGUUAUCCGGAAUUAUUGGGCGUAAAGAGCUCGUAGGCGGUUUGUCACGUCUGCUGUGAAAACUGGAGGCUCAACCUCCAGCCUGCAGUGGGUACGGGCAGACUAGAGUGCGGUAGGGGUGACUGGAAUUCCUGGUGUAGCGGUGGAAUGCGCAGAUAUCAGGAGGAACACCGAUGGCGAAGGCAGGUCACUGGGCCGCAACUGACGCUGAGGAGCGAAAGCAUGGGGAGCGAACAGG